AUGGUUCGCUCUCUUCCGUUCUGAAAAUUUCGAUGUGAAAGAUGCACCUCGCUCUGGUCGACUCAUCGUUGAAAAAGUCGAUGAUAUUAUGGAAAAGAUUGACCAGUCACAUAAGCAACCAUGACAUCGCUAAGGAACUUAACAUUCAUCAUCAAACGCUUUUGAACUAUUUAAAAAAGGCUGACUUCAAAAAAAAGCUCGGUGUUUGGGUACCACAUGAAUCGUCUGUGAACAAUUUAAUGAACCAAAUCAAUCUGCAAUUCUUUGCUAAAAGGAAAUUAAAUCGAAAAAUUUGUGAAUUGAGUAGUAACAGGAAACGAAAAGUGGAUCAAAUACGACAAUAAUGUGCGAAAAAGAUCAUGGUUCAAGCGUGGUGAAGCUCAACAAAUGGUCGCAAAGCCAGGAUUGGCCGUUCGAAAGGACAUGCUGAGUGUUUGGUGAGAUUGGAAAGCAAUAAUUUACUAUGAUCUGCUCCACCCUGGUCGAAGGAUUGAUUCCACAUUUUAUUGUCAACAACUGAUGAGAUUGAAGCAAGCAAUAAAAAAACGACCAGAACUAAUCAAGAGGAAGCUUCGUCUUCCACAAGGACAACGCUAGACCACACACAUUCUUGAUGACUCGGCAGAAACUAGUAGAGCUUCGCUGGACAUGUACCCUUGACCUUGCACCAUUUGUUCUGGUCAAUGCAGAACUUUUUUAAUGGAGUGAAGUUGGCUUCAAGAGUAGCCUAUGAAAAUUACUUGCCGCAGUUUUUCGCCGAGACUUUUUCGACUACCAUAUAUAUUACCAACAUCACCACGAAGCUGAUCAUAGCGGUAUAAUUUAUAUAUAUUCACAUACAUAUUUAUUAUGUAUUUAGUUAUUCGUUUGUGUCAAUAAAUGAAAAGUUAAUAUAAAAUAUACAUAUGUACAUAUGUACAUAUAUAAAGGCAA